rnacentral:tRNA from 2 species
GAAAGAGGCACAGAGCAAUAAGGAUUGCUAAUCCCUACUUCCAUGGUUAAACUCCAUGGCUCAUUC